rnacentral:rRNA from 1 species
GAUGAACGCUGGCGGCGUGCUUAACACAUGCAAGUCGAACGAAGCACCUUGAUUUGAUUCUUCGGAUGAAGAUCUUGGUGACUGAGUGGCGGACGGGUGAGUAACGCGUGGGUAACCUGCCUCAUACAGGGGGAUAACAGUUAGAAAUGACUGCUAAUACCGCAUAAGACCACAGUACCGCAUGGUACAGGGGUAAAAACUCAGGUGGUAUGAGAUGGACCCGCGUCUGAUUAGGUAGUUGGUGGGGUAACGGCCUACCAAGCCGUCGAUCAGUAACCGACCUGAGAGGGUGACCGGCCACAUUGGGACUGAGACACGGCCCAAACUCCUACGGGAGGCAGCAGUGGGGAAUAUUGCACAAUGGGGGAAACCCUGAUGCAGCGACGCCGCGUGAGCGAUGAAGUAUUUCGGUAUGUAAAGCUCUAUCAGCAGGGAAGAAAAUGACGGUACCUGACUAAGAAGCACCGGCUAAAUACGUGCCAGCCGCCGCCGUAAAAC